CCUACGGGGGGCAGCAGUCGGGAAUAUUGCGCAAUGGAGGAAACUCUGACGCAGUGACGUCGCGUGCAGGCAGAAGGUUUUCGGAUUGUAAACUGCUUUAGAUAGGGACGUAAAAAGAUAGUAGCUGUAGUAUUUGCAUCUGCUAACUACGUGCCAGCAGCCGAGGUAAUACGUAGGUAGCAAGCGUUAUCCGGAUUUAUUGGGUGUAUAGGGUGCGUAGACGGAGAAGCAAGUUAGUUGUGAAAUCCCGCGGCUUAACUGAGGAACUGCAACUAAAACUUGUUACCUUGUGUACUGGUGAGGAAGGUGGAAUGCGUAGUGUAGCGGUGAAAUGCGUAGAUAUUAGGCGGAACACCGGUGGCGAAGGCGACUUUCUGGACAGUAACUGACGUUGAGGCACGAAAGUGUGGGGAGCAAACAGGAUUAGAUACCCGUGUAGUC
rnacentral:rRNA from 1 species